CAAUUCCUGGCACUUUGAUGGCCCUAAAUCCCUUGUAUUUAUGCUUUUUUUUAUGUGUGUCCUCUCUGCCUCUAGGACAAGCGUUUGCUGUAACUAGAUGAUUUUAUAGGCUGCAACUGGGGAAGAGGUCUCCGCCGAGGAUUUGGGGGGUGCAAGUGUUCACUGCAAGACAUCAGGUGUUUCAGAUUAUUUUGCUCAAGAUGAACUGCAUGCACUGGCUCUUGGGAGGAACAUCAUCAAGAACUUGCACAUGGCUGGGAAAGACGUCUUGGGAAAUGGAUUGCAAAAUGUAAAA